rnacentral:rRNA from 1 species
GUAUGCCUUACACAUGCAAGUCGUACGAGAGUUUUUAACUCAAGUGGCGGACGGGUGAGUAACACGUAAGAAUUUGCCUUUAGGAGGGGGACAACAACUGGAAACGGUUGCUAAUACCCCAUAUGCUUUCGAGUGAAAUGGAUUUAUCCGCCUGAAGAGAAGCUUGCGGCUGAUUAGCUUGUUGGUGAGGUAAUGGCUCACCAAGGCGACGAUCAGUAUCUGGUUUGAGAGGACGAUCAGACACACUGGAACUGAGACACGGUCCAGACUCCUACGGGAGGCAGCAGUGGGGAAUUUUCCGCAAUGGGCGAAAGCCUGACGGAGCAAUACCGCGUGAGGGAUGACGGCCUAUGGGUUGUAAACCUCUUUUUUCAGGGAGGAAUCAAUGACGUGUACCUGAAGAAUAAGCAUCGGCCAACUCCGUGCCAGCAGCCGCGGUAAGACGGAGGAUGCAAGUGUUAUCCGGAAUCACUGGGCGUAAAGCGUCUGUAGGUGGUUUAAUAAGUCAACUGUUAAAUCUUGAGGCUCAACUUCAAAAUCGCAGUCGAAACUAUUAGACUAGAGUAUAGUAGGGGUAAAGGGAAUUUCCAGUGGAGCGGUGAAAUGCGUAGAGAUUGGAAAGAACACCGAUGGCGAAGGCACUUUACUGGGCUAUUACUAACACUCAGAGACGAAAGCUAGGGUAGCAAAUGGGAUUAGAUACCCCAGUAGUCCUAGCCGUAAACAAUGGAUACUAGAUGUUGACCAGGUCGACCUGUGCAGUAUUAAAGCUAACGCGUUAAGUAUCCCGCCUGGGAAGUAUGCUCGCAAGAGUGAAACUCAAAGGAAUUGACGGGGGCCCGCACAAGCGGUGGAGCAUGUGGUUUAAUUCGGUGCAACGCGAAGAACCUUACCAGGGUUUGACAUGAUACGAAUUUCUUUGAAAGAAGAAAGUGCCGUUUGGAACGUAUACACAGGUGGUGCAUGGCUGUCGU